GACGAACGCUGGCGGCGUGCUUAACACAUGCAAGUCGAACGGAAAGGCCCUGCUUGCAGGGUACUCGAGUGGCGAACGGGUGAGUAACACGUGGGUGAUCUGCCCUGCACUUCGGGAUAAGCCUGGGAAACUGGGUCUAAUACCGGAUAGGAGCCAUUUUUAGGGUGAUGGUUGGAAAGUUUUUUCGGUGUAGGAUGAGCUCGCGGCCUAUCAGCUUGUUGGUGGGGUAAUGGCCUACCAAGGCGGCGACGGGUAGCCGGCCUGAGAGGGUGGACGGCCACAUUGGGACUGAGAUACGGCCCAGACUCCUACGGGAGGCAGCAGUGGGGAAUAUUGCACAAUGGGCGGAAGCCUGAUGCAGCGACGCCGCGUGGGGGAUGACGGCCUUCGGGUUGUAAACUGCUUUCGCUAGGGACGAAGCUUGUUGUGACGGUACCUAGAGAAGAAGCACCGGCUAACUACGUG
rnacentral:rRNA from 1 species